rnacentral:sRNA from 1 species
GUUUCCCUGCCUGGUUCGCGAAGGUCAUAACUCCUUGAACCGAUAUGCAUUGCAUGGUGCGGGAUGAUGCCGUGUGGGCGAGCGCGUCGCUCUGUUCAUAGCGCAGGUCAGGCCUGGGCUCCCUGAGCAGGUGAUGUACCCGAAAUGCGGCUUCCGCAGCCACACUGAACCUCACUUGGGUUCAGGAUGCCGACCUAACGGCCGAGGCGGGGACCCC